rnacentral:rRNA from 1 species
UACAGAGGUCCCAAGCGUUGUUCGGAUUCACUGGGCGUAAAGGGCGCGUAGGCGGGUUCAUAAGUCUGUGGUGAAAUCCUCCGGCUCAACCGGAGAACUGCCUCGGAUACUGUGGGCCUCGAGGGUGAUAGGGGUAUGCGGAACUAUCGGUGGAGCGGUGAAAUGCGUUGAUAUCGAUAGGAACUCCGGUGGCGAAGGCGGCAUACUGGAUCACUUCUGACGCUGAGGCGCGAAAGCCAGGGGAGCAAACGGG